UUAUCGGAGAGUUUGAUCCUGGCUCAGGACGAACGCUGGCGGCGUGCCUAAUACAUGCAAGUCGAGCGGAUUGAUGGGAGCUUGCUCCCUGAUAUCAGCGGCGGACGGGUGAGUAACACGUGGGUAACCUGCCUGUAAGACUGGGAUAACUCCGGGAAACCGGGGCUAAUACCGGAUAACUCAUUUCCUCGCAUGAGGAAAUGAUGAAAGAUGGCUUCUUGCUAUCACUUACAGAUGGACCCGCGGCGCAUUAGCUAGUUGGUGAGGUAACGGCUCACCAAGGCAACGAUGCGUAGCCGACCUGAGAGGGUGAUCGGCCACACUGGGACUGAGACACGGCCCAGACUCCUACGGGAGGCAGCAGUAGGGAAUCUUCCGCAAUGGACGAAAGUCUGACGGAGCAACGCCGCGUGAGUGAUGAAGGUUUUCGGAUCGUAAAGCUCUGUUGUUAGGGAAGAACAAGUGCCG
rnacentral:ncRNA from 1 species